rnacentral:rRNA from 1 species
UAUUAUGGAUAUUAUGUGGUUGGAUGCAUUAUGAGGGACAUUUACAAUUUCUGCCAUGCUAACAAGCAGGAAACAAUUUCUUCCGGGGAUGCUCAAACGGUGAUCAAUCACAUGGUGGCGAGGCAAGAGCAAGAUUCAGAUUUUUUCUUCAGGUACUUGGUUGAUGAAGCUGGCCAUCUGAAGGCACUGUUCUGGUGUGAUAGUCAAUCCCGACUUGACUACGAGGCUUUCGGAGACGUUAUUGUUUUUUAUAGCACAUACAGAACCAAUAAGUACAAUCUGCCAUUUGUGCCGUUUGUCGGGUUGAAUCACCACCGCAGCACCGUUAUUUUUGCAUGUGGUAUCAUUUCACAUGAAACAAGCCAGGCAUACGAGUGGAUGUUACGGACCUUUUCUGAUGCUAUAGGACUGAAGCAUCCUAUAUCUGUGAUCACGGAUGGGGACCUUGCAAUGCAGAGAGCAAUCAGGGUGGUGUGGCCUGACUCAAACCAUAGGCUCUGUAUAUGGCACAUUCAGCAGAACAUUGUAUGCCAUCUGCAUGAUGACGCGGUAAAGGAGGAAUUCCGAUCUUUCAUAUAUGAUACAUCUUCCAUUGAAGAGCAUGAGAGAAAAUGGUUACACUUCUUAUAACGGAAUAAAGUAACAAGUGAGGACUCCUGGCUGCAUCAGAUGUAUAAGAUGAGAAAACUGUGGUGUGCUCCAUAUCUUGAGGGCCGUUGUUUCCUAGGAUUGAGCAGCAAUCAGCGGAGUGAGAGUUUAAACUCGGUGCUACAUACGCAUCUUGAGGCUAAGCUAACGUUGUUUCAAAUGCUAGAGCACUAUGAGCGUUGCCUUGCGUCGCGACGCUUGAACAAGGCUCUCCAAGACGUCGAGGCCUUACAGUCCGUUCCGUUCACAGAGGAAAAUGCUUCAGUUCUUGAGAAACAUGCCGCGAAAGUUUUCACUCCUGCUAUGUUUAAGUUGGUCUGGAGCAUAGAUGCUAUCAUAAAAUGUGAGAUCAGAGAGGUACUUGAUGCAGCAGAGGUUACCACAUACGUUGUGUCUAAGAAGGAAAGAAUGGAUAAAAAGAUCGAAGUGCGCACGGAGACGAAGGAAGGUAUGCUUCGCAGUAUCAGUUGUUCCUGCCGCAAAUUGGAAUGCGCAGGCACACCAUGUUCCCACAUAUUUUACAUAUUGGGAAUUUUACAAGAAGAAACACUGCCCAUGUGUUGUGUUCCCACUAGGUGGAUAAUGAGUGCAAAAUGUGCAUUCACACCGACCAGAAAGAGCGAGAUGUAUGCAUACUUUGCAGCCCUACAAAGGUACCGUAAGCUAAGGAAUUUUAGUCACACAGCAUGUUUCAAGGCAUGCCACUCUGAUGAGGUGUUUCAGCAUCUAAAAAGGGUUUUGGAAGGACAAGAUGUUUGCAAGGGAUCAACAAGUGAACAAGCUGAUAGCAAGGGAUCAACUAAUGCUCAGGGUAACAGCAUUAGGUUUGGCCCGUUGAUGCCACAAUCGGCUAACCUUGAUGGUGAAGGUUUAGAAAAGGUUCUGGAUCCCGUGCAUGUGUCAGGCCGAGGUGCUCCGAAGAAAAGGCUACAGGCAAAGAUGAAGAAAACCAGAACAAAGGGUAGAUGUAGCUAUUGUCAUGAGGCAGAUGGUCACAAUCGACGUACGUGCGCCAAAUUGAUAGAGGUACCUAAUAUGCCGUAA